rnacentral:rRNA from 1 species
UACGGAGGGAGCAAGCGUUACUCGGAAUUAUUGGGCGUAAAGGGCGCGUAGGCGAUCUGAAAAGUUCUGUGUGAAAGCCCACAUGUUAACUGUGGAAGUGCACAGAAAACUGUUGGAUUUGAGUUCAGGAGAGGAAGGCAGAAUUCCCGGUGUAGCGGUGAAAUGCGUAGAGAUCGGGAGGAACACCAGCGGCGAAGGCGGCGACCUGGACAGUUACUGACACUCAACUGCGAAAGCGUGGGGAGCAAACAGG